GUAGUCCACGCCCUAAACGAUGUCGACUGGUUGUUGGGGAAGGAAACUUCCUUAGUAACGAAGCUAACGCGUGAAGUCGACCGCCUGGGGAGUACGGCCGCAAGGUUAAAACUCAAAGGAAUUGACGGGGACCCGCACAAGCGGUGGAUUAUGUGGAUUAAUUCGAUGCAACGCGAAAAACCUUACCUACCCUUGACAUGUGCGGAAGGGGGCAGAGAUGCCCCUGUGCCCGAAAGGGAGCCGCAACACAGGUGCUGCAUGGCUGUCGUCAGCUCGUGUCGUGAGAUGUUGGGUUAAGUCCCGCAACGAGCGCAACCCUUGCCGCUAAUUGCCAUCAUUCGGUUGGGCACUUUAGCGGGACUGCCGGUGACAAACCGGA
rnacentral:rRNA from 1 species